UGGGGAAUCUUGCGCAAUGGACGAAAGUCUGACGCAGCGACGCCGCGUGGGUGAUGAAGGCCUUCGGGUUGUAAAGCCCUGUGGGGAGGGACGAAUAAGUUGCAGCUAAUACCUGCAGCGAUGACGGUACCUCCUUAGCAAGCACCGGCUAACUCUGUGCCAGCAGCCGCGGUAAGACAGAGGGUGCAAACGUUGUUCGGAAUUACUGGGCGUAAAGCGCGUGUAGGCGGCUAUGCAAGUCGGAUGUGAAAGCCCUCGGCUCAACCGGGGAAGUGCAUUCGAAACUGCAGGGCUAGAGUCCCGGAGAGGAUAGUGGAAUUCUCGGUGUAGAGGUGAAAUUCGUAGAUAUCGAGAGGAACACCGGUGGCGAAGGCGGCUAUCUGGACGGUGACUGACGCUGAGACGCGAAAGCGUGGGGAGCAAACA
rnacentral:rRNA from 1 species